UUUCCGUAGGUGAACCUGCGGAGGGAUCAUUACCGAGUGAGGAACUCUCAGACCCGACCUCCCACCCUGUGUUUUUGUGACCUGGUUGCAUUGGCGGGCCCGCCUCACUGAGAGGCCGCCGGAAGCUCACCGCUUUGAGCCCUUGCCGGUUAGUAGCCCCCUUAAAUUCAACAUAAAACUGUGGACUUAGUGCAUGGGUAAAAGGAGAAAAAACCUUCAACAAGGAAGCUCAUGGUUCUGACAUCGAUGAAGAAAGCACCAGAUCGGAAGCGCACACGU
rnacentral:misc_RNA from 1 species